rnacentral:misc_RNA from 1 species
CAACCCUCAAGCUCUGCUUGGUCUUGGGCACUGCCGGUGACGGCUUGCCUUAAAAUUAGUGGCGGUGCCAUUUGAGCUCUACGCGUAGUAACAAAACCCUCGCGAUUGAGUCUUGGUGGAUGCUUGCCAGCAAUCCUUAAUUUUUUUGG